rnacentral:rRNA from 1 species
UACGUAGGUGGCAAGCGUUGUUCGGAAUUAUUGGGCGUAAAGAGCGUGUAGGCGGCUUGGUAGGUCCGCUGUGAAAACUCGAGGCUCAACCUCGAGAUGUCGGCGGAAACCACUUGGCUAGAGUCCGGAAGAGGAGAGUGGAAUUCCCGGUGUAGCGGUGAAAUGCGCAGAUAUCGGGAAGAACACCUAUGGCGAAGGCAGCUCUCUGGGACGGUACUGACGCUGAGACGCGAAAGCGUGGGGAGCGAACAGG